rnacentral:rRNA from 1 species
GCUGCAGGCUUAACACAUGCAAGUCGAGGGGCAGCAUGGUCUUAGCUUGCUAAGGCCGAUGGCGACCGGCGCACGGGUGAGUAACACGUAUCCAACCUGCCGUCUACUCUUGGACAGCCUUCUGAAAGGAAGAUUAAUACAAGAUGGCAUCAUGAGUCCACAUGUUCACAUGAUUAAAGGUAUUCCGGUAGACGAUGGGGAUGCGUUCCAUUAGAUAGUAGGCGGGGUAACGGCCCACCUAGUCUUCGAUGGAUAGGGGUUCUGAGAGGAAGGUCCCCCACAUUGGAACUGAGACACGGUCCAAACUCCUACGGGAGGCAGCAGUGAGGAAUAUUGGUCAAUGGGCGAGAGCCUGAACCAGCCAAGUAGCGUGAAGGAUGACUGCCCUAUGGGUUGUAAACUUCUUUUAUAAAGGAAUAAAGUCGGGUAUGGAUACCCGUUUGCAUGUACUUUAUGAAUAAGGAUCGGCUAACUCCGUGCCAGCAGCCGCGGUAAUACGGAGGAUCCGAGCGUUAUCCGGAUUUAUUGGGUUUAAAGGGAGCGUAGAUGGAUGUUUAAGUCAGUUGUGAAAGUUUGCGGCUCAACCGUAAAAUUGCAGUUGAUACUGGAUAUCUUGAGUGCAGUUGAGGCAGGCGGAAUUCGUGGUGUAGCGGUGAAAUGCUUAGAUAUCACGAAGAACUCCGAUUGCGAAGGCAGCCUGCUAAGCUGCAACUGACAUUGAGGCUCGAAAGUGUGGGUAUCAAACAGGAUUAGAUACCCUGGUAGUCCACACGGUAAACGAUGAAUACUCGCUGUUUGCGAUAUACAGCAAGCGGCCAAGCGAAAGCGUUAAGUAUUCCACCUGGGGAGUACGCCGGCAACGGUGAAACUCAAAGGAAUUGACGGGGGCCCGCACAAGCGGAGGAACAUGUGGUUUAAUUCGAUGAUACGCGAGGAACCUUACCCGGGCUUAAAUUGCAGAUGAAUUACGGUGAAAGCCGUAAGCCGCAAGGCAUCUGUGAAGGUGCUGCAUGGUUGUCGUCAGCUCGUGCCGUGAGGUGUCGGCUUAAGUGCCAUAACGAGCGCAACCCUUGUUGUCAGUUACUAACAGGUUCCGCUGAGGACUCUGACAAGACUGCCAUCGUAAGAUGUGAGGAAGGUGGGGAUGACGUCAAAUCAGCACGGCCCUUACGUCCGGGGCUACACACGUGUUACAAUGGGGGGUACAGAGGGCCGCUACCACGCGAGUGGAUGCCAAUCCCAAAAACCUCUCUCAGUUCGGACUGGAGUCUGCAACCCGACUCCACGAAGCUGGAUUCGCUAGUAAUCGCGCAUCAGCCACGGCGCGGUGAAUACGUUCCCGGGCCUUGUACACACCGCCCGUCAAGCCAUGGGAGCCGGGGGUACCUGAAGUGCGUAACCGCGAGGAGCGCCCUAGGGUAAAACUGGUGACUGGGGCUAAGUCGUA